GACGAACGCUGGCGGCGUGCUUAACACAUGCAAGUCGAACGGUGAAGGGGUCUGCUUUUGUGGGCCCUGGAUGAGUGGCGAACGGGUGAGUAACACGUGAGUAACCUGCCCCCUUCUUCUGGAUAACCGCAUGAAAGUGUGGCUAAUACGGGAUAUUCUGGGUCUGUCGCAUGAUGGGUCUGGGAAAGAUUGCGCCUUUGGGUGUUUUUGGUGGGGGAUGGGCUCGCGGCCUAUCAGCUUGUUGGUGGGGUGAUGGCCUACCAAGGCGGUGACGGGUAGCCGGCCUGAGAGGGUGGACGGUCACAAUGGGACUGAGACACGGCCCAGACUCCUACGGGAGGCAGCAGUGGGGAAUAUUGCACAAUGGGCGCAAGCCUGAUGCAGCGACGCCGCGUGAGGGAUGGAGGCCUUCGGGUUGUAAACCUCUUUCGCCAGUGAAGCAGGCCUGCUCCUUGUGGGUGGGUUGACGGUAGCUGGAUAAGAAGCGCCGGCUAACUACGUG
rnacentral:rRNA from 1 species